AGAGGAUGGGGAGCAACCUAGUUGUGCGUGUGUAAAGGUAGUGCCAAGAAAAGCGAUGAUCAUGUUGAAAAUCAAUUCCCGGUACCCGAAACCGACACAGGUGGGCAAGUAGAGAAUACUAAGGGGCGCGAGGUAACUCUCUCCAAGGAACUCGGCAAAAUGACCCCGUAACUUAGGGAGAAGGGGUGCCACCGAGAGGUGGUCGCAGUGAAGAGGCCCAGGCGACUGUUUAGCAAAAACAUAGGUCUCUGCAAACUCGAAAGAGGAGGUAUAGGGGCUGACGCCUGCCCAGUGCCGGAAGGUUAAAGAAGUUGGUCAGUUUUAGGGUGAAGCUAGCGGCUGAAGCCCCGGUGAACGGCGGCCGUAACUAUAACGGUCCUAAGGUAGCGAAAUUCCUUGUCGGGUAAGUUCCGACCCGCACGAAAGGCGUAACGAUCUGGGCGCUGUCUCGGAGAGAGGCUCGGCGAAAUAGGAUUGUCUGUGAAGAUGCGGACUACGUGCACCCGGACAGAAAGACCCUAUGAAGCUUUACUAUAGCUUGGAAUUGUGUUCGGGUUUCCUGUGCGCAGGAUAGGUGGGAGGCGUAGAAGGUAUUCUUGUGGGGAUACUGGAGCCAACGGUGAGAUACCACUCUCAGGAGGCUAGAAUUCUAACUUAAUUAAGGACAGUUUCAGGUGGGUAGUUUGACUGGGGCGGUCGCCUCCAAAAAGGUAACGGAGGCGUACAAAGGUUCCCUCAGACUGGUUGGAAAUCAGUCGAAGAGUGCAAAGGCAGAAGGGAGCUUGACUGCGAGAAGUACAGUUCGAGCAGGGUGGAAACACGGUCUUAGUGAUCCGACGGUGCUGUGUGGAAGGGCCGUCGCUCAACGGAUAAAAGUUACUCUAGGAUAACAGGCUGAUCUCCCCCAAGAGUUCACAUCGACGGGGAGGUUUGGCACCUCGAUGUCGGCUCAUCGCAACCUGGGGCGGAAGUACGUCCCAAGGGUUGGGCUUUUCGCCCAUUAAAGCGGUACGUGAGCUGGGUUCAGAACGUCGUGAGACAGUUCGGUCCAUAUCCGAUGUAGGCGUGAGAAUAUUGAGAGGAGCCUUCCUUAGUACGAGAGGACCGGGAAGGACGCACCGCUGGUGUACCUGUUAUGAUGCCAAUUGUAAACGCAGGGUAGCCAAGUGCGGAGAGGAUAACCGCUGAAAGCAUCUAAGUGGGAAGCCCACCUCAAGAUGAGUAUUCUGGUGUAAGGUCACGGGAAGACGACCCGUAAAUAGGCACGAGGUGGAAGUGCAGAGAUGUAUGAAGCCGAAGUGUACUAAUAGACCGUCGGCUUG
rnacentral:rRNA from 1 species